rnacentral:rRNA from 1 species
UACGGGGGGGGUAAGCGUUGUUCGGAAUUACUGGGCGUAAAGGGCUCGUAGGCGGCCAACUAAGUCGGACGUGAAAUCCCUCAGCUUAACUGGGGAACUGCGUCCGAUACUGGAUGGCUUGGAUUUGGGAGAGGGAUGCGGAAUUCCAGGUGUAGCGGUGAAAUGCGUAGAUAUCUGGAGGAACACCGGCGGCGAAGGCGGCAUCCUGGACCAAUAUUGACGCUGAGGAGCGAAAGCCAGGGGAGCAAACGGG